AACUUUCAACCAGUAGAACAAAACUAAAAGAUGGGAUCCCAAAGAGAACAAGCAAUAAGGUUGCAAACAAGACAAAUUCAACCGUUUCUCAUCCAACAUAACUAAAGGUGAUUACCUCACAAUUUGAUUGCUACGCCGCAAAAGCAAAACAAACACCAACUAAUUCCAAUCCCAACAAAGCAAAAAAGUAUUCUCAAACUUUUGAGAACACAAGCAAUAGAAGCGACGACGAACGGUUCAAGGCGGAUCAAACCAUGCUCUCGAUACCAUGUU
rnacentral:lncRNA from 1 species